UGAAUCUGUAGCCUAAUGAGGAUGAGAACCUCCGGGGGCAGGGAGGUUCGACUCGAGCGAAGCGAGAGAACGUUGCGUCAGCAACGGCCCGCAGGGCGAGCCACGAAGUGGCGAGUAAUCCUCUAUCACCGACCA
rnacentral:sRNA from 1 species